CCCAUCGCAGUCGGUCUCUGCCUUCGCUUUUGUUCUCCGCUCUCAAUCUCUCCCAAGGUGACGGCGACCACGGCGAUGUCGCCCCCAUGUGCGGCGCACCGACGGCCCCCUUCCCCUCCGUUCCCGCGCUGGGCAGCAGUGUGGUGUCCGUCGUUGACGCGGCGAUGCCCAUCCUUCUCCUCUACAGCCCCUCGCACCACAUGGGCGGGCCGGCCGUGACCCCCACCGGUGGCCGCCGACGGCAUGCACCCCUGGGCCUGUCUUCUUCCUCCAGUCUUCCUCUACUACUGUGAUAUGUCAAACCCUAGCGGCCUUCUUCGAUUUUAGUUUCGAUUUCUACUCUAGGGUUUCUAUGUCCAUGGCAGAUUGGUGUUUGUUAGAUUCAGCCUGGCCUAGGUUCCCAUCACAUCAAAUUGGUGGCCUCGAGUGCACUGACCGCCACUACUUGGAUCAAUAGCAUAGACAGUUAAUUUGCAGGUACUUGGGUUCUUCUGUUCUUGGCCUUGAUAAAGAGAACAAUUUGAAUCGGUGAUGUUUCAUAUUUUUCCAUAUUUUUCAUUAUUUAAUUGUGCACUUAACGUCCAAUGCUAUAUCCAUGAAAAAAGAAGAUUAAGUAAUACCUCUAACUGAAGUAAUUCCCUUUUUUAUACUGAAACAUUAGAAACAAACUUUUCUAUUGUUUCGUCGACUUCUAGCUGUGUUCAAGUUCCUCAGCUUCCCUAAAGCAAUAUGCUAGCUAGAUAUUCAUUUGGUAUGUUAUUCCUAUCACAUUGUUCAAGCAUCUUUGUUGAGCAUGGACAUUUUUAAUCUAGAGUUGUUCUGCUAGAUUAAUUUACACAACAAUCAUAGAUGAUGGAUUUAGAGAUCUUUGCUUAAUAAAAAUAGCUACCUUUGCUAUCUUUUGUUUGUUAAUAACAACUUCUGCAUUUUUUUUCCAUGGGAACUGCAUUUAUCAUAUUCUUUUGAGGUCCUAAUGCAAGCUCUUCACUAAAGAACAGAAUUUUUAUGUAGGCUAUUGUUGCUUCCUGAACCGCCAAAGGUAAAAAUUCCUCUUUGAGCUGUUUUCCCUUCUCAACCAGUGCAAUGUUUGCUAGAGUAGCUUAUUUAGUUGAUACUGAAAUUGGGCCUUCCUUAUUUCAAGACUACUUUUACUUGAUAGGAACCAUGCUAUGGCAGUUGUGUCAAAAAACCACUAUAAAAUUCUAGCAUAUUUCACUGUUUGAUGUCCAAAGUAUUGUCUAAAGAUCCAUCUUACUCCAGCAAAGUGUGAAACCUAUUAUAACAUUGACACUAAAUAAAUUACAUAUAAGAAAAGUACAACUAUAUUGUAGAUGAGCGCAUUUAAAUUAUUAAGUUUUAUUCACCUCUGCUCCCGUAAAUAAGCACAUACAUGUUAUAGACUAUUAUUUUAUACCUGUAAAUGGAGAAAGCUUCAUUAGAAUAAAAAAAAAAAAUUCAAACUUCAUGUAGUAGAUGGACAAGGGUUUUGCAACUCAGAUUGUGUCUAUUUCUUCAAGUUAGUUUAAUUAAUGUUCCAUUUAUUUCUUCAUGUUUAUUUGAGAAUCAAAUAUAUACAUGGUCAGCAGCGUAAUAGGAAGAAUGCUGUUGUGCCUUUGAAGCUAGGUGAGUGAAUAGCUUCCCACAUCCACAUCUUCAGCUGACCAAACAUUAACUGAUUUUUUGCUGUUUACUGACAUGCCAUAUUUACAUAAUAUAGAUAUGGAUGUGUUUGCCCUAUUGUUAGUUCUGAUGAUUAUAAUUACAAAUAUAUGUUUACUCUACACAUGGAUGUAUUGUGUGUUAGUCCCUUUUUGAAAUCGAAAUUUCAGUAAGCACCCAUUUAGAAUUAUAAUGACCUUCAAAGAAAAGAUGACUGACUGGUUCGUACCUUUUGUUUUUUCCUGUUUCCUAUAUGUGUUGUUUUAGGACCUUAUCACCUUGAACAUUUUUUUAGUGCUGGGCACAAACUUCAUAUACCGAACCACCAAAACCUUAAAUGGCACCCUUGGGGACAUUUGGUAAUAUAAUUGCAAGAUCGGAGGACUGUAAUGUAUGGAUGUGGAAUGCUGAUCAUAGUGCCAUUCUAAAUACCUCUGAUGGCCAUAGUAACACAGCGACAUAUGGUGAUUUACUCUAGAUGGUACCAUCAGAAUUCCUUGAUUGCUACUAUGCAUCUACCUAUUUAUAAAGUUGUGGUUUGGUCGCUUAGGUAGGUGUAUCUAUGAAUGCUCUGUUCCUUGUGAAGGUAACCUUAUAUGUACUAGAAAAGUGAUAUUCUAUAGUUCAAUGUCCUCAAGCAUGCAUAUCAGUUGAUAAAGGUGGGAUAACAGUUUUAUCUGUGGAACCAGCAUAGGGUCAUCAGUAGCAACAACCGUGGGACAAUUUUAGGUUAUGCAAGCAUAGCUUCCUGGUACCUUGAGUUAUGAUUUUAUUUAUAUGACCACAAGGUUUAUAUCCAUGCAGAAUGAUGAUUGCCAUUUUUUCCUUCACUUUGAAUAUUGGAUCUUCCAAACUUUGAAGAUUGAGAGUUUGGGUCAAUCAAAUUCUUGCACCCACCUUCAGCAUUUUAGCAUGCUACCGAAGGCUAUCUUUUUAUUGUGGAUUCAGAGGUUGGCCUCCCUUGCCGACCUAGGGACAACAUUUUGUCAAUCCUGUAUAGACCACCUUCCAAGUGCAGUUCAUCAUUUCAGUGUUUAAUAAAUACAAAGCACAGAUGCGACCUCUGCCGAAAAUGGACUCAAUUUUAUUGUGCUUCCUACAAACUUACAAAAUGGGCAGUCUUAGCUUCCUUCCAAGUUUCACUCUAUACUUUGUUACCUGUAGUCCAGAGUUAGGCGAAAGAAAGGCUAAGGAUCCUAUAUGUGUCUCAAUCAUUUUUUUCCCAUUCACUCAUAUUAUGAAUAUCCACAAGUACUUUACGCGAUAUUUCAAACCAAUCCAGUCUCCAUAUUUG